CUUCGGCUUAUAAAAGUUUGCCUCAGCAAGCCGGGGGGCUCCUCGCUCCCCCUCUGCUGGGGGACCCCGUCUGCUCCUCACCCUGGAGGCACCUCGGCUCUGUUCGCAGCGGGUGAAGGUGGGACCGUUCCCCGGGAUUUAUUGAGCUGGAUUUGCAUUUUGCACCAUGUCUUCUUGGAUCGCGGCUCCGCUGGUGGCUUUAACCGGGCUGCUGCUGUCACUUUCGGCCGGGGCUGAUGUGAAGGCUCGGAGCUGCAGUGAGGUGCGGCAGGCGUAUAGUGCCAAAGGCUUCAGCCUGGUCAAUAUACCCUUUCAGGAAAUAGCAGUCUGACAGUGACGGGACCCUCCAGGAAAGCGCGCGCCAGAGGAGGGGCAGGCUCUGGGAGGGAGGGAGCGCUCAGCGCCCCAGCCGCGAUUACACGGGUGGCCUUUGGAAACUUCUUAGAGUUGCUGCUGGGUUAUUAAAGCCAGCGAGCCGUCCUGAUGGUGGGUCCUGCCUCCACUGCCCGGUCCUGCGGGGAGACAAGUUUGCCCUUUGCCAGUGGGGGCCUCGCGGGGAUGGGGUUCUCCCCACUGCCACCGGCGGGCUCCUCUGCCUGCAGUUUGGAUCAAAUUCUGGUUCGCUAGAGGAUCUGCACAUACAUUUGGGUUUUACGUGAGGCAAGAAUUUACAAACACAGUGAAAGCGACUCGUCUCAUAAACAUGACUCCGGUUAAUCAAGUCUCAGCACAGACUCCCACGAGCGAGCACUGAAAUCAGCCCCAUCCACCAGAUUCCUCCACCCCCAACCAAGAAAAGGAGGGGAACCUGGGCAGCAGCAGCUGCUGGGGAGAGUUUCCCUGCUGUUCUGAAACAUUGUUACAACAGGUUCAUUUCAACCCUUCUUUCUAAAACAGGGAUUUUUUUUCAGUUUAUUUGCCAGAUUUUAGCUCCAACCAUAUAUUCAUUGCAUCUCUAGGACUGACUGAAUAAAAACGUGUCCGGGAAAGAGAAUCUUUUGGCA
rnacentral:lncRNA from 1 species